rfam:Magnetospira sp. QH-2 chromosome, complete genome
CCUGGUGGUUCUGGCGAGGGUGUCCCACCCGAUCCCAUCCCGAACUCGGCCGUGAAACCCCUCAGCGCUGAUGGUACUGCGUCUUAAGGCGUGGGAGAGUAAGUCGCCGCCAGGU